ACACAAACAUACAUGCAUACACAAAUGACAGCAACCAUGAACCACAAUUCCCUGUCUACCCACCUUAGAACACCAUGACUGAAGGAAAGCUGUCCUGCCCUUUCCUACUCUUCUGACCUCCAUCCCAUUUACCUUAUCGAGACAUGGUUUCCU